GAAGAAAUUAAAAUAUAGUAAUAUGUUAAAUUUUUUUGAAAGCAAUACUAGCAAGAAUAAUGAAAUUUCUUCGUGGAAGCAAAGGAAGGAUGUAUAUACACAUGAUUACUUAACUAGCAAAAUAAUUGAUAAUAUAUGUAUAAGUAAUAAAGAAAUAGUAAAUAGCGAUAAUUUAAUACAUAAAAAUAGUUUUACUUUUAUAAAAAAGUAUACAUUACCUCAUGAUCAAACUAAUGAUUUAAAUUUACACAAUGUGAGUGAUUAUCCCUUAUGCAUGCAAACGUAUGAGACGAGUACUGAAAAGGAAGCUUUGAAAAAAGAGUUUUCUAAUAAAACAAAAAGGAAAAAAAGUAGCCUUAAUUAUUUUAACAGAAACAGUCAUGAUAGUAACAAAAGUCAUGAUAGUAACAAAAGUCAUGAUAGUAACAAAAGUCAUGGUAGUAACGACAAUCAUGACAGUAACGACAAUCAUGACAGUAACGACAAUCAUGACAGUAACGACAAUCAUGACAUUAACUAUGACUGGAUAAAAAACAACAAAAUGAAUAAUAGUAAUAAUAAUAAUAAUAAUAAUAACACUUUAAAGGUGUGCAACAAGAAAUGUUUAGUAGAAAAGAGUAAAAAAAAAAGAAAACAAAGUACUAAGAAUGGUAAUAACAACAUUAAUAUCAUUAGUAAUAACAUCAAUUGUAGUAGUAAAAAAAGUAGAAAACAUGAUAAAAUUACUAAUGGAAAUUCAGAUAACAAUGAUAGUAAUAAUUGUAGUAAUAAAUUUAGUCAUAAUUUGAGUGAUUAUUCUAGUGAUGACUCAAACAGUAAGAACAAAAAUAGAAAAAAAAAUUAUUAUUAUAAUAAUAAUAAUUAUAUAUGGGAAGGACUAAUAAAAAAAGAAGUAAUUCUUUUGUUAAUACAAGCUAUUAAAAAUAUGGGUUAUAAAGAGUCUGCUAAGUAUUUAGAACAAGAGAGUGGAAUAGAACUUGAACAACCAAUCAUUAAAAACUUACGUAAAAAUGUAUUA
rnacentral:lncRNA from 1 species